rnacentral:rRNA from 1 species
UACCCGCAGCACAAGUGGUGGUCAUUAUUAUUGGGCCUAAAGCGUCCGUAGCUGGCCUGUUAGAUGCCUGGGUAAAUCGAUGCGCUCAACGUAUCGAAUUCCGGGUAGACCGGCAGGCUCGAGACCGGGAGAGGUGUAGGCUACUCGAGGGGGUAGGGGGUAAAAAUCCUGUAAUCCUUCGGGGAGGACCAGUGGCGAAGGCGCUACACUAGAACGGCUCUGACAGUGAGGGACGAAGCCCUGGGGCGCAAACCGG